ensembl:lncRNA
GGUGCCGUUGCGUUGUGGUUGGACGUGUGUUGACUAGCAGUUUUUUUCAUCUCCCAUGUGAUCUUGGACACUGAGUCAGGCUAGGCAGCUUUGGGCUGAUGUUAGCUGGUCAGGGUGCCGGCCCUGUGGGCACCAUGAGGCGAGGGACCAGCCUGCAGAGCCGGCGCAGUAAGGGGACAGGGGGGAACGGGACAGGGGCCGGAGUAGGAGACCGGGACCCCUCUCUGAGAGGCAGCCCCCAGGCCCCCCAGCGCCGGCCUACCUACGAUGCACAGCAGCAUUCCGUCCGCCCGCGCUCCUCCUCCACCACUGACAACACCACACCAAGUAGCCCUUCCCUUGGUUACCACCCUGGAUACGUGACGCCAGGCGACGUGGUGCUAUCGUCAGGAUACCAGUCCACGGAGGAGACAGAGAGGAGUGCAGAUCAUUUCGGAUAUGACUCUACAUCUGGAUCGACCCAUCUGCUUGAUAUACGUUAUCCUAGCAAGAA